AGUGAACGCUGGCGGUAGGCCUAACACAUGCAAGUCGAACGGCAGCUCAGUAAGAGCUUGCUCUUACGGGUGGCGAGUGGCGGACGGGUGAGGAAUACAUCGGAAUCUACUUUUUCGUGGGGGCUAACGUAGGGAAACUUACGCUAAUACCGCAUACGACCUAUGGGUGUAAGCACGGGUUCUUCGGACUUUGCGCGAUUGAAUGAGCCGAUGUCGGAUUCGCUAGUUGGCGGGGCAGAGGCCCACCAAAGCGACGAUCCGUAGCUGGUCUGAGAGGAUGGUCAGCCACACUGUAACUGAGACACGGUCGAGACACCUACGGGAGGCAGCAGUGGAGAAUAUUGGACAAGGGGCGCAUGCGUGAUAUAGCCAUACCGCGUGGGUGAUGAAGGCCUUCGGGUUGUAGAGCCCUUUUGUUGUGAGAGAAAAACAGCACUUUAAUACCCCACUGUUCUGACGGUACCCAAAGAAUAAGCACCGGCUAACUUCGUG
rnacentral:rRNA from 1 species